CCGGUGGGGUCUAGUUAUGGCCAAUAGACCCCUAUUGGGUCUUGGUGUAAGGGCUUGGGGCCUUUGUAAGCCAAAAUGAUUGGGAAUUAUGGUAGUUUAAGAAUUGGGACUUGUUAAUGGAUCCAAUGGGUCGAGAUGAAUGUUGUGAACUAUGUCUUCGACUGUGAUCUCGUAACUAUUAAGAAUAAUAAAGUGAUUGAAAU
rnacentral:lncRNA from 1 species